rnacentral:rRNA from 1 species
UACGAAGGGGGCUAGCGUUGUUCGGAAUCACUGGGCGUAAAGCGCACGUAGGCGGGUUCUUAAGUCAGGGGUGAAAUCCCGAGGCUCAACCUCGGAACUGCCUUUGAUACUGGGAAUCUUGAGUUCGGGAGAGGUGAGUGGAAUUGCGAGUGUAGAGGUGAAAUUCGUAGAUAUUCGCAAGAACACCAGUGGCGAAGGCGGCUCACUGGCCCGAUACUGACGCUGAGGUGCGAAAGCGUGGGGAGCAAACAGGG